UGCUGAAGGUCAUGAUGUCAUGAAGAAGGAAGUCCCAGGAUUUUGAGAGCGUCUCGAUAGAUCUGGUGACGUAAAUAGCGACUUCUGAGGUGGAUGGCGACUACAAUAACCCGGACUAAACCCUCCUAGAAUCAAGUUUUAGGUGACUAACCCUCCGAACCCAUCUUGCGCUAUAGUGCUAAAGGGGGCUUCAGAGGGUUCCUCUGAAGGCGCCUUCAUGGUGGU
rnacentral:lncRNA from 1 species